UUAGGCGGAAUCACUGGGCUUAAAGCGUGUGUAGGCGGAUCGUUAAGUGCCUUGUGAAAUCCCACGGCUUAACCGUGGAACUGCUCGGCAUACUGGCGGUCUUGAGCAACCUAGGGGCGAGCGGAACAAAUGGUGGAGCGGUGAAAUGCGUAGAUAUCAUUUGGAACGCCAAUGGUGAAAACAGCUCGCUGGGGGUUUGCUGACGCUGAGACACGAAAGCCAGGGGAGCGAACGGG
rnacentral:rRNA from 1 species